CUAAGCCGAGGCCGAAAGGCGUAGGUGAUGGACAACAGGUUGAUAUUCCUGUACCGCCAAUAAGCGUUUGAGAGAUGGAGUGACACAGUAGGAUAAGCUAACCGUACUGUUGGUUAUGUACGGCUAAGCAUUGAGGCAGUCUAAAUAGGCAAAUCCGUUUGGACAAUGCUAGGAUGUGAUGGGAAGCCCUUUGGGGCGAAGUAGCUGAUUUCACACUGUCAAGAAAAGCUUCUAUCGAGUUUAAAGGCGCCCGUACCGUAAACCGACACAGGUGGGUGAGGAGAGUAUCCUAAGGCCAGCGAGAGAACUAUUGUUAAGGAACUCGGCAAAAUGACCCCGUAACUUAGGGAGAAGGGGUGCCUGUCUAUGACAGGCCGCAGAGAAUAGGCCCAAGCGACUGUUUACCAAAAACACAGGUUUCUGCUAAGUCGCAAGACGAUGUAUAGGAGCUGACGCCUGCCCGGUGCUGGAAGGUUAAGGGGAUCUGUUAGAGCAAUCGAAGCAGUGAACUUAAGCCCCAGUAAACGGCGGCCGUAACUAUAACGGUCCUAAGGUAGCGAAAUUCCUUGUCGGGUAAGUUCCGACCCGCACGAAAGGCGUAACGAUUUGGGCACUGUCUCAACAAUAGACUCGGUGAAAUUGUAAUCCCGGUGAAGAUGCCGGGUACCUGCGACAGGACGGAAAGACCCCAUGGAGCUUUACUGUAGCUUGACGUUGGGUCUUGGUACUACAUGUACAGGAUAGGUGGGAGACUAUGAAGCAUGGACGCCAGUCUGUGUGGAGUCAUCCUUGGGAUACCACCCUUGUAGUACUGGGAUCCUAACCAUAGGCCUUGAAUCAGGUCUUGGAACACCGUCAGGUGGGCAGUUUGACUGGGGCGGUCGCCUCCUAAAAAGUAACGGAGGCGCUCAAAGGUUUCCUCAGCACGGUCGGAAAUCGUGCGAAGAGUGUAAAGGCAAAAGGAAGCUUGAUUGCAAGACAUACAGGUCGAGCAAGGACGAAAGUCGGACUUAGUGAUC
rnacentral:rRNA from 1 species